rnacentral:lncRNA from 1 species
CCCUUCUCAAUACGAAUUUCAUUUAAUCCGUAUUCAUAAUCCUUUUCUGAAUCUGUACCAUUCACACAGCAAUCAUGCUUUAACUUUUCAAUCAUCAGAUUGAUUCUUUCUGGCUGUCAUAACCUUAACAGAUCACGGGGUGAUCUCAUCGUAUAUAUUACGAUUCAAUUCUAUGACUAUGAUCGCUUUGUUUUACGAUCUCCUAUCACUGAACAUUUAGUCUUUUAGACUUUAUCUAUUCACCACUUCUGUUCAACCUUAUUACCAGAGUUAGGGAACUCUGUAUCUUAACAACUUACCGAGAUUCAUCUUUGAAUCUUACCGACCAACUAACUCUAUGUGAGUUAGAUCUUAUCUUAAUCACUGCGGUUAUUG